rnacentral:rRNA from 1 species
GCCUAGCCUUAAAUCUGGAUACUUCCCCCACCAAAGUAUUCGCCCGAGAACUACGAGCACAAACGCUUAAAACUCUAAGGACUGGGGGGUGUCCCAAACCCACCUAGAGGAGCCUGUUCUAUAAUCGAUAACCCACGAUACACCCAACCACUCCUUGCCAGAGCAGCCUACAUACCGCCGUCGCCAGUUCACCUUCCCUGAGAAGAAUAACAGUGAACACAAUACCCUUCAUCCCGCUAGCAAGACAGGUCAAGGUAUAGCCUAUGAAAGUGGAAGAAAUGGGCUACAUUUUCUAUAAUAAAAAACCACAAAAAGAAGUGUGAAAUAACUUCUAGAAGGGGGAUUUAGCAGUAAAGCAGGACAAUUGAACCUCCUUUAAACUGGCCCUGGGACACGUUCAUACCGCCCGUCACCCUCCUCAA